rnacentral:rRNA from 1 species
UACGUAGGGUGCAAGCGUUAAUCGGAAUUACUGGGCGUAAAGCGUGCGCAGGCGGUUUUUCAAGACAGAUGUGAAAUCCCCGGGCUUAACCUGGGAAUGGCAUUUGUGACUGGAAGGCUAGAGUGUGUCAGAGGGGGGUAGAAUUCCACGUGUAGCAGUGAAAUGCGUAGAGAUGUGGAGGAAUACCGAUGGCGAAGACAGCCCCCUGGGAUAACACUGACGCUCAUGCACGAAAGCGUGGGGAGCAAACAGG